rnacentral:rRNA from 1 species
GACGAACGCUGGCGGCGUGCCUAAUACAUGCAAGUAGAACGCUGAAGCGAGGAGCUUGCUCUUCUUGGAUGAGUUGCGAACGGGUGAGUAACGCGUAGGUAACCUGCCUUGUAGCGGGGGAUAACUAUUGGAAACGAUAGCUAAUACCGCAUAACAAUGGAUGACACAUGUCAUUUAUUUGAAAGGGGCAAUUGCUCCACUACAAGAUGGACCUGCGUUGUAUUAGCUAGUAGGUGAGGUAAUGGCUCACCUAGGCGACGAUACAUAGCCGACCUGAGAGGGUGAUCGGCCCCACUGGGACUGAGACACAGCCCAGACUCCUACGGGAGGCAGCAGUAGGGAAUCUUCGGCAAUGGGGGCAACCCUGACCGAGCAACGCCGCGUGAGUGAAGAAGGUUUUCGGAUCGUAAAGCUCUGUUGUAAGUCAAGAACGGGUGUGAGAGUGGAAAGUUCACACUGUGACGGUAGCUUACCAGAAAGAGACGGCUAACUACGUG